rnacentral:snoRNA from 1 species
UGGACCAAUGAUGAGAUUGGAGGGUGUCUGAAUCAAUGAGGUCUGUAACAAUGAGGUCCAU